UAAAGAUACAUUUUUCUUCUUGCUUGGUCGACAAAAUAACCAAAAAAAUUAAAGAACACGCAGUGAAAUGUAAUCGAUCUUUGCUUUACUUGAUGGAGAACUCGAAAAUGAGGCAAUGCCGGAUCCACAUGAGAAGAAGAACCACGGAAUUAACUGGAUUCACUUUUUUCACCUGAUGAUAGAAACGAGAACAAAUCUGCAGGUAGAAAAAGAUUUAAAGCAAUGAAAAUGCCAGUCAAUAUUCACCAUAAUCCAUUUGAGAGUCUGGCUAUGAAAAUCUUACAUGCCAUCAACAUUGGUCCGAAUUCGUCAAAUUUUAGUAUUCAUCAACAUUUUAGAUUGAGAGCAGUGUUUG